rnacentral:rRNA from 1 species
CCCUAUGGGGUGCGGGUUGCGGCUGGGUUUGAUCCGCCUGGGCAACCAUGCUCAGACCGGGGUCUGUUACCUGCCAGGGUUCCUGAACGACAAUCUGUCCUGAAACAUUACUUGUGUAAGUCGUGGAGAUGCCAUAAAUCAGGAAAAAUGAAAAAAAUACUACUAUGAUUCUCUUCAAAAAGGCACACUCCCUGAACAGAACGAAAAGUAAGGGUAUUGUACAAUAAAAACAGAAAGCAGGGCAAUACCCUUUUUAAUAUUCUUUAUGUAUUUUACCAGAAAUUAUGAAUUAUUUUGCAUUUUCUUAACAUAAAAUGAACGAAUGCAUACAUAUUCGCCAGAGAGAAAUGAGAAAUCAGAAUUGCUUGCCUCAAUUUCUGUACAAUUGGCGGGAGGGC